rnacentral:rRNA from 1 species
CCUACGGGAGGCAGCAGUGAGGAAUAUUGGUCAAUGGACGAGAGUCUGAACCAGCCAAGUAGCGUGAAGGAUGACUGCCCUAUGGGUUGUAAACUUCUUUUAUAUGGGAAUAAAACGUUCCCCGUGUGGGAUUUUUUAUGUACCAUAUGAAUAAGGAUCGGCUAACUCCGUGCCAGCAGCCGCGGUAAUACGGAGGAUCCGCGCGUUAUCCGGAUUUAUUGGGGUUAAAGGGAGCGUAGGUGGAUUGUUAAGUCAGUUGUGAAAGUUUGCGGCUAAACCGGAAAAUUGCAGUUGAAACUGGCAGUCUUGAGUACAGUAGAGGUGGGCGGAAUUCGUGGUGUAGCGGUGAAAUGCUGAGAUAUCACGAAGAACUCCGAUUGCGAAGGCAGUUCACUGGACUGCAACUGACACUGAGGAUCGAAAGUGUGGGUAUCAAACAGGAGUAGAUACCCUGGUAGUC